UACGGAGGGGGCAAGCGUUAUUCGGAAUCAUUGGGCGUAAAGGGCGCGUAGGCGGCUUGGCAAGUCAAAGGUGAAAUCCCUCGGCCUAACCGAGGAACUGCCUUUGAUACUGCUUGGCUUGAGGCCGGGAGAGGAUAGUGGAAUUCCCAGUGUAGUGGUGAAAUACGUAGAGAUUGGGAAGAACACCAGUGGCGAAGGCGGCUAUCUGGACGGUUUCUGACACUAAGACUCGAAAGCGUGGGGAGCAAACAGG
rnacentral:rRNA from 1 species